ACGGGGUGCAGCAGGCGCGAAAACUUUACAAUGCGGGAAACCGCGAUAAGGGGACACCGAGUGCCAGCAUUUAUGUUGGCUGUCCCACAUGUGUAAACGGCAUGUGUUAGCAAGGGCCGGGCAAGACCGGUGCCAGCCGCCGCGGUAACACCGGCGGCCCGAGUGGUAAUCACUUUUAUUGGGUCUAAAGGGUCCGUAGCCGGUUUGAUCAGUUCUUCGGGAAAUCUGACAGCUCAACUGUUAGGCUUCCGGGGAAUACUGUCAGACUUGGGACCGGGAGAGGUAAGAGGUACUACAGGGGUAGGAGUGAAAUCUUGUAAUCCCUGUGGGACCACCAGUGGCGAAGGCGUCUUACCAGAACGGGUCCGACGGUGAGGGACGAAAGCUGGGGGCACGAACCGGAUUAGAUACCCGGGUAGUCCCAGCCGUAAACGAUGUUCGCUAGGUGUCAGGGGCGGUGCGACCGCUUCUGGUGCCGUAGGGAAGCCGUGAAGCGAACCACCUGGGAAGUACGCCGCAAGGC
rnacentral:rRNA from 1 species